GUUCCCAUACCGAACACAGUAGUUAAGCUCUCCAGUGCCGAAAGUACUUGGCUGGACACGGCCCGGGAGGAUAGGUCGCUGCCGGUU
rnacentral:rRNA from 1 species